UAAUUUGUUAAAAAAUUAUAUUCUUAAAUUCAUGAUUUUAUUAAGUAAUUAAUGUGGAUUGUUUUAGUUUAUUUUAUUUUUCAAAAUAAUUUGUAUGUUAUAAUUAUCUGUUCAAAAUUUAAAAUUAAUUUAAAAAAUAAAAUUAUUUUACUCACAUAAGAAAAUUAUUUUACAAAAUUAUUUCAUUUUACCGCCAAUUUCUAAAACUCCCACUAAAUACUAUUCUAAUUAAUAUUCCCACUACUCCACUUCACAUCCCCACCAAAACUCUCUCGCUUCCACUACUAAUUAACCUAAGUGUAAUUCACGCUAAUUCCAUCUCCAUUUUCACCUUUUCACUAGGGAUCAAAACCCUGGAGCCGCUCGCCGCUGAGCCCCCUAGCGCGUCGCCCGCCGCUCUGCGCCCUAGCGUCGCCCGCCGCUCUGCACCCAAGCACCGCCGCACGCUGCUCUGCUCCAUCAGCCGCCGCACGCGUCCAGGCUAGAACACGCAGCACGGCGUUCUAUAGGCCCGUUGGAAUCGUUGGAGUUUAAAGAGAGAGGUUGAAUUUGGUUGGUUGUUGCAGGGAGAGAAAGGCGAAACCCAAGGCUGCAGCAGAAUCCAAAGAUCCACAAAGUGUUGCAGCUAAGAAUCGAAGGGAACGGAUCAGUGAACUGCUAAAGAUUAUCUGCUUGCUCAGCUGCGAUGGAGAUCAUCAUAGGAGUCAUUGAAAAAGUUGUCACGAUGGUUAAUCAAUGUUCAACUCUUCCAAUGUACAAUGGAGUUGCUUUUUGAUCAAGAGCUUGAAGAAAAAUUAUGAGUCCUAGAUUAAUUUCGAGUUGUAGAUUAAGUGCUUAGUAAUUUAGACAUUAAAAAUUAUAUGUAGUUAGUAAUUUCAUACUUGUACUUUGAUUUUGUUAAAUAUUUUUUUAUGUAAAUGUUCUGUAUGAUAUUCUUGUUAUAUUUAAUGUGUUGAGUAUUUGAUUUUU